CAGAGGGAGGGUUUCCCUGGAGCCUGCGCAUCACCGGCCCCUCCACGGCCUCCUCGGCGGCGGCGCAGGUGCGCAUCCUCGCUAACACGCGCUCACCUCCUCCUCGUCUGCUCUCUCCCGAUUCCGCCGAUCUGCCACGCUCGUCUGGUUCCUCUUCGAGCGCGCCAGGUACAGCCUCGCGUUGGUUCAUCCUCUUCUUCUUCUUCUGGGCCAAGUCCGCCUCGCUGCUCAACAGGUCCGUGCGUUUACUCCCCACUUUGCUCUGCCUGGCGGCUGGCCUAUCUUGCUACUCCAGUACUUCAAAUGGCUACAUGUACUUCUAUAGCUUGCUAAUUCCUUCUCAGCUUGUUUUAUAUGCGUGUGUAUGGACAAACUAAUGUGUCUUUGUGUUGGUUGUUCCUUCCUUGCCGAUAUGGCAAUUGUUUUAGAUGCUGGCCAGUUAAGGUUUGUUGCAAAUAAUAGUGGAUCUUGGGCCGCCUCCACACCUUGGGUGGUUGUCCUCUCCUUUGUUAUGAGCUUGCUGCCUAUUGCGCUUGCGUCAUUGCCGUUCUUGCGCCGCUGCUGCUGCCAUGUAAGGCUGCUUUGGAUGACUCAGCGCCCGGGUUGCGGUCUCUACCAUUCAUAUUUUGAUACAUUUCAUCACCGGGGCUGCUUUGAUGCUUGCGAAGUACAUGGGGGAGGCGCACAUGGUUGAUGAUUAUGUUCUAGGUUGGCCAUUGAGAGGGAUGCUGAAGCAAACUCCGUCAGGUUUCAGUUUUGAAAGGUGAGGGGGG